rnacentral:rRNA from 1 species
GAUGAACGCUGGCGGCGUGCCUAAUACAUGCAAGUCGAGCGAACAGACGAGGAGCUUGCUCCUCUGACGUUAGCGGCGGACGGGUGAGUAACACGUGGAUAACCUACCUAUAAGACUGGGAUAACUUCGGGAAACCGGAGCUAAUACCGGAUAACAUGUUGAACCGCAUGGUUCAACAGUGAAAGACGGUUUUGCUGUCACUUAUAGAUGGAUCCGCGCCGCAUUAGCUAGUUGGUAAGGUAACGGCUUACCAAGGCAACGAUGCGUAGCCGACCUGAGAGGGUGAUCGGCCACACUGGAACUGAGACACGGUCCAGACUCCUACGGGAGGCAGCAGUAGGGAAUCUUCCGCAAUGGGCGAAAGCCUGACGGAGCAACGCCGCGUGAGUGAAGAAGGUCUUCGGAUCGUAAAACUCUGUUAUUAGGGAAGAACAAAUGUGUAAGUAACUACGCACGUCUUGACGGUACCUAAUCAGAAAGCCACGGCUAACUACGUG